rnacentral:rRNA from 1 species
AUUGAACGCUGGCGGCAUGCCUUACACAUGCAAGUCGAACGGCAGCACGGGAGCAAUCCUGGUGGCGAGUGGCGAACGGGUGAGUAAUAUAUCGGAACGUGCCCAGUAGUGGGGGAUAACUGCUCGAAAGAGCAGCUAAUACCGCAUACGACCUGAGGGUGAAAGGGGGGGAUCGCAAGACCUCUCGCUAUUGGAGCGGCCGAUAUCAGAUUAGCUAGUUGGUGGGGUAAAGGCCUACCAAGGCAACGAUCUGUAGUUGGUCUGAGAGGACGACCAGCCACACUGGGACUGAGACACGACCCAGACUCCUACGGGAGGCAGCAGUGGGGAAUUGUUCGCAAUGGGCGCAAGCCUGACGACGCAACGCCGCGUGGAGGAUGAAGGUCUUCGGAUUGUAAACUCCUGUUGCUCGGGACGAAAAGCUUCAACCUAAUACGUUGAAGUCUGACGGUACCGAGUGAGGAAGCCCCGGCUAACUCUGUGCCAGCAGCCGCGGUAAAAC